GCAGGGUCUGCAGUUUCCAGCAACAUUCAGCAGGCUCUGAGUGCAGGGACCCAACAAGGAGAGAGUGCAGCCUGAGGGAUUUCAGGUCUCCUGUGACAUUGCUCAAGACAGUUUGGAUAAUGCACUGCUCUAUAAAGACUACACAGUUCCAUCACAUAAUGCAAAAUGUAUGUUUCAACUCCUAAGGGUAACCUUUCAAUAACCAGCAUCAGCUCAUUAUGGAUGUUGUCGCAGAGGGAUUCAACAGAGAUGAGGACUGACGGAGGACCCCAUCAGUUACGAAACUGGCAGUCAUGAUGUCUGUCACAGAAAGGUCUUACCC